AUUCCCUUGUGGUCUAAAACCUUCUUAGUGUUAUCCAAGUGGUGGAAAGUGAUUGUCUUAGGGAUUCAGGAAAGAUUUUUACCUGACUCCAGAACAACUAAUUCAGAAUAAAAGCAGUUGUGGCUCAGAGCUGGCUUGCUUGUCCUUUACACUCUUGCCUAUCUGUACCAUUUAUACAUUUUAAAAAGAAUUAUAUUGAUAGAACCAUUUAUACAUUUUAAUAAGAAUUGUAUUGAUAGAGGCA
rnacentral:lncRNA from 10 species